UCAUGGUUCACUGAGGAUAUUUGCUGUCAGUUUUAUUAAGCAGGAAUAUGCUAAGACAGGAGGUCGAGGAGUAGGAGAACCCCGAGGAACCAUGGGAAGAAAGGACGAACUAGAGGGGAUUAAUGCUGAACAGACCGCAACUCCGAAGGGAGACAGGAUUAAGUAAAAGAGGAAAAGGAAAUUAAGAAAGAAACAAGGGUGAGACGACGCAGCAGGAGAGAUGAAGUCCAGCAAGAGGUGAAUCACUCCAGCAAAUGUACCCAGGUAGCCCAAAGUAAACGCGAAACAAGACACAUGGCUGAUCUGUGGAGCUGAGAAGAGGAACAUCUCUAGAGAGAUGGGCAGGGAUGACCAGGGUGACCAGGCAGGAUGUAUUACUAAACAUCUACCGAGAGACACAGGGAGAGAGAGUACUACUAUGCUUCAGCCUGGAGAGUAUAUGAUGCUCUACUUGACCGCAGAUGAAUCGUGUCACUGCCUUCACUCCGAUUCUGAAAGAAUCCCAUCCCCCAUUUGAAAUCAUGACAGUAAAAUGGACAGUUUUAUCUAAAGAAGCAAUUGACAUUUUAUCUGAGGGGGGGGACGUAAGAGACCCAAAGACCCUCUGGGUUUGUCCACCCUGAAAGAACAUUCUUUCUCAGUGACAUUGAAAGUCUUUGGAAAACUCCUCAUUUAGGUGAUGUUCAGUCCUUCUGUAUUCAGGAAUAGCUUUGUUUUUACCCUCUUUCAGAAUUACUUCUUUUUAAAACAAUUAAUCCUUUCUGAGUGAAAGACUCCCUUAAAUCCAAGCAUUUUAUUAAUAUAUACCUGUAUUUGAACUGCGUGCUGUUGCCGGCACAUUCAUCAGGUUCUUUAUCAAAACUGAAUGCUUAUAAGAGAAUCUGGUCCACCAGCUAAGACAGUUUUUUCCACCACCAUCAACAAACCAAAUAACAACGAUUUCCUGUAUGGCAAACUCUCCGAAUGAGCGAUUGAAUUAUCAAUGCCACUGGUCACUGAAGCUGUUCUGUUAGCUCGUGACUCAUAGGCCAAUUAUGGUACUUUGUGUUGUUUCAUUUAUUUUGAUAGUAAUUUAUACAUUCCAUUACAAAGAAAUACCAAGCUCCCAUUUCAUGGUUUUGUUUAAACGUUACCUGUGAUUGAAAUGCAUAUUGAUGUCGGUUCUUUGAUGAUAUUUACAAUCUGCUUGAGUUCUCAGGAUGCAUGCAAUUUGAAUGAAAAGAAACUCUUUAGCCAGAUAACAACAAUAUUUUUGUCUAUACUCCUUUGUCCCCUGUCUGUCCUCUCUCAGUCCAGCUCCACUGAAUUGUGAAAAAAAGAACCACAACAAAAAACUAUUUGAAAACCCCCAGAGUAAAUGAGCAUUUGC